GACAGAGGGUGCAACCGUUGUUCGGAAUCACUGGGCGUAAAGCGCGUGUAGGUGGCUUGGUAAGUCGGGCGUGAAAUCCCGGGGCUCAACCCCGGAAGUGCACUCGAUACUUCCUCGCUAGAGUCCUGGAGAGGAAGGUGGAAUACUUGGUGUAGAGGUGAAAUUCGUAGAUAUCAAGUAGAACACCGGUGGCGAAGGCGGCCUUCUGGACAGUGACUGACGCUGAGACGCGAAAGCGUGGGGAGCAAACAGG
rnacentral:rRNA from 1 species